rnacentral:rRNA from 1 species
GGAAACAGAUGCUAAUACCGGAUAACAACAGAUGAUGCCUAUCAACUGUUUAAAAGAUGGUUCUGCUAUCACUCUUGGAUGGACCUGCGGUGCAUUAGCUAGUUGGUAGGGUAACGGCCUACCAAGGCGAUGAUGCAUAGCCGAGUUGAGAGACUGAUCGGCCACAUUGGGACUGAGACACGGCCCAAACUCCUACGGGAGGCAGCAGGA